AUUGAACGCUGGCGGCAGGCCUAACACAUGCAAGUCGAACGGCAGCGGGGGAUAGCUUGCUAUCCUGCCGGCGAGUGGCGGACGGGUGAGUAAUGCAUGGGGAGCUGCCCAGUCGAGGGGGAUAACAACUGGAAACGGUUGCUAAUACCGCAUACGCCCUAAGGGGGAAAGGUGGGGAACUUCGGUCCUACCGCGAUUGGAUGCGCCCAUGUGGGAUUAGCUAGUUGGUGAGGUAACGGCUAACCAAGGCGACGAUCUCUAGCUGGUCUGGGCAGAGUACCAGCCACACGGGAACUGGGACACGGUGCAGACUACUACGGGAGGCAGCAGUGGGGAAUAUUGCAGAAUGGGGGAAACCCGGAUGCAGCCAUGCCGCGUGUGUGAAGAAGGCCUUCGGGUUGUAAAGCACUUUCAGUCAGGAGGAAGGGGUGAUGGCUAAUAUCCAUCAUCAUUGACGUUACUGACAGAAGAAGCACCGGCUAACUCCGUGCCAGCAGCCGCCGCCG
rnacentral:rRNA from 1 species